AACUGUUUGGCUGAUUGGAAAGUAGAUGUUUUGAAAGCAUUGUAUAUAGGUUCAAAUCCUAUAACAGUUU
rnacentral:tRNA from 1 species